GACGAACGCUGGCGGCGUGCUUAACACAUGCAAGUCGAACGGAAAGGCCCUGCUUUUGUGGGGUGCUCGAGUGGCGAACGGGUGAGUAACACGUGAGUAACCUGCCCUUGACUUUGGGAUAACUUCAGGAAACUGGGGCUAAUACCGGAUAGGAGCUCCUGCUGCAUGGUGGGGGUUGGAAAGUUUCGGCGGUUGGGGAUGGACUCGCGGCUUAUCAGCUUGUUGGUGGGGUAGUGGCUUACCAAGGCUUUGACGGGUAGCCGGCCUGAGAGGGUGACCGGCGACAUUGGGACUGAGAGACGGCCCAGACUCCUACGGGAGGCAGCAGUGGGGAAUAUUGCAGAAUGGGCGGAAGCCUGAUGCAGCAACGCCGCGUGCGGGAUGACGGCCUUCGGGUUGUAAACCGCUUUCGCCUGUGACGAAGCGUGAGUGACGGUAAUGGGUAAAGAAGCACCGGCUAACUACGCG
rnacentral:rRNA from 1 species